AAGACUUCACAGACUUGCGUCCACAUUAUAUUGAUUGCGUAACAAUCUAAUAUAGUAUAGUAUAGCAUAAUAUGCCCAAUCCCACAUGGCCUUCCCAGUCAGCCCAGACAGCAGCUUUUUGUACAGAAGUCGGAUGAAAGAUCAAGAAAUCCCAUGUGGGCUUGCUGCAAGAACUUCUGUUUCUGCAGGUAUGGAGGUGAUUGAUGAUUCUUCUUGCGACUCCUCAACUUGUAAGCAUCAAGAAAUGGCGGAGGAGGAGCCUGGAGAUCUCCUUGACAAGUCUUGGUUUUUUGGGAACUUGCUUGACAGAAAAACAACCAGGAUGUGUAGAUGGUAUUCUGAUCCUUGUCCUUCCUCUGGCUUAGCUGAUGAAGAGAUUUUGGUUGGAAAAUCAUAUGAAGAAACCUUCUCAUCGUUAAACAAACUACCACAAGGGGAUGAGUUAACUCCUUCAGGGUUGAUGAGAGCGCCGUCCUUGCCAGAAGAAUCGACUUAUCAUGCAGGAGGAGGUACCUAUCCUGCGCGCAGGGGAAGCAAAUCAAGACUAGAGAAAUCGAGUAACAAUCUGUUUCGUGCACCUUCUCUUCCAACUUCUCUAGGAAGAGAAGAAACUCAAGAUGAAGAAAGUGAUUUUUCGAUGAGCAAGUUGAUUAGGCAAGCAUCUUUGAAUCAAUCAGACCUGUUGCCCCCACGGCGGGUUCCGAUUCCGAAGGGUCUAACACAAAGUUCAAGCACACCUAGGCUGCGGCCGCGAAGAAAACCAGAUUCGGAAAGCUGCAAAACAGAGAGCCCCGAAGGGGUGAUGAUCAGAAGGCAACACCCCCUUAAUCAGGCCAAGUUAUCAAGAAGCUCGAGUGACCUUAUUGUAGAACUUCAAGGUCUUAAGGACUUGAGUAUCAAAUUUGACGACAAAGAUUUAGGUCCAAGUCUGCAAGAAAAGAAGCAGCAACAGUUUUGUCUAAAUGAAGGUAAGUUGAGGAAGUCCUAUACAGCUGAUCAGGCAUGGCAGCCUGAGAACCCUGCAUCUCCAAUGGGCAAGAGGUCGGCAGAAGAUAUGAAAGCACAGAUCAGAUUUUGGGCUAGAGCUGUAGCCUCGAAUGUGCGCCAGGAAUGCUGAUAACUAACCAUACAAUCAUACAUGUAUGCUGAUCAUCAUCUGAACUUGAGAAUAUGGGUUAGAUCCUUGGAUAGAAUCAUCGAUUUUGUAGGUGAGUUAGUACUGGAGUUUGGAUAUGGAGUCAUAAAUGUCACAUUAAAGUGCAAAGAAAUUGAAGCAGACUCCUCUUUGUAUUCAAUGAUUUCAAGAAGUUGGCCCGUGAAGAUGAGAGCAUUUCAACUGCUUCGAAAGGCAGGAAUCAUUCUUUCAUCUUGUAAUCCAACUGCUGCAACUGCAAUGCAUAUAGGCCUAAGAUGUUUGAGGAUGAAGAGGUAUAUUGGUCAGGUUGCUUGUCAACUAGAAGGGUUCAAAGGGAGGAUUGGAAUUGGAUAGAACAAGAAUUUUUUUUCUUCUUUUUGUUUUGUGGGUGUGCUUCAUAUCAUAUAGAGUAUAAUUCGAGUUCUAAUCCAAGUGCUGUAUCCCAGACCAAAGCCUAAAGUUAAACCUCUGUUGGGAAAUUGGGCUUCGGCCUAGUUGGCAGUCUUCUGGAAGGGAAAGAAAAAACCUUUGUUUGGUACAUUGGAAUACUCAGAAUGUAAAGGUCUUUUCACCAAAAAACGUUUUUCGAGUCAGAAUGAUAUUAAAAAAAAUUUCCGUUCCAA